GUCCCUACGGGGCGAGCAGUAGGGAAUCUUCCACAAUGGGCGAAAGCCUGAUGGAGCAACGCCGCGUGGGUGAAGAAGGUCUUCGGAUCGUAAAACCCUGUAGUUAGAGAAGAAAGUGCGUGAGAGUAACUGUUCACGUUUCGACGGUAUCUAACCAGAAAGCCACGGCUAACUACGUGCCAGCAGCCGCGGUAAUACGUAGGUGGCAAGCGUUAUCCGGAUUUAUUGGGCGUAAAGGGAACGCAGGCGGUCUUUUAAGUCUGAUGUAAAAGCCUUCGGCUUAACCGGAGUAGUGCAUUGGAAAA
rnacentral:rRNA from 1 species